rnacentral:rRNA from 1 species
GUUGAACGCUGGCGGCAGGCCUAACACAUGCAAGUCGAGCGGAUGAAGGGAGCUUGCUCCUGGAUUCAGCGGCGGACGGGUGAGUAAUGCCUAGGAAUCUGCCUGGUAGUGGGGGAUAACGUCCGGAAACGGGCGCUAAUACCGCAUACGUCCUGAGGGAGAAAGUGGGGGAUCUUCGGACCUCACGCUAUCAGCUGACCCUAGGGCGGAUUAGCUAGUUGGUGUGGUAAAGGCCUACCAAGGCGACGAUCCGUAACCGGUCUGAGAGGAUGAUCAGUCACACUGGAAAUGAGACAAGGUCCCGACUCCUAAGGGAGGCAGCAGUGGGGAAUAUUGGGCAAUGGGCGAAAGCCUGAACCAGCCAAGCCGCGUGUGUGAAGAAGGUCUUCGGAUUGUAAAACACUUUUAGUUGGGAGGAAGGGCAGUAAGUUAAUACCUUGCUGUUUUGACGUUACCAACAGAAUAAGCACCGGCUAACUUCGUG